rnacentral:lncRNA from 1 species
GGUCUGCAGGAUGAUGGUGGGAAUCUGCACUGACCUCUUCUAGUCAGUCACUUUCCUGUAUGUGCAACUUUUGGUGACAAGAUGCAUGAACCCAACUGGAACCAGCUGAAUAUUCUGGAGUUGCUCUCAGCGUCCACUAAAAGCCAGAAUCCAGGCUUUGGGAAGGAAAGGCAAAUCCAGCACCUCGAAAACUAGACUGAGAGAC